GACGAACGCUGGCGGCGUGCUUAACACAUGCAAGUCGAACGGAAAGGCCCUGCUUUUGUGGGGUGCUCGAGUGGCGAACGGGUGAGUAACACGUGAGUAACCUGCCCUUGACUUUGGGAUAACUUCAGGAAACUGGGGCUAAUACCGGAUAGGAGCUCCUGCUGCAUGGUGGGGGUUGGAAAGUUUCGGCGGUUGGGGAUGGACUCGCGGCUUAUCAGCUUGUUGGUGGGGUAGUGGCUUACCAAGGCUUUGACGGGUAGCCGGCCUGAGAGGGUGACCGGCCACAUUGGGACUGGGAUACGGCCCAGGCUCCUACGGGAGGCAGCAGGGGGGAAUAUUGCACAAUGGGCGGAAGCCUUAUGCAGCAACGCCGCGGGCGGGAUGACGGCCUUCGGGUUGUAAACCGCUUUCGCCUGUGACGAAGCGUGAGUGACGGUAAUGGGUAAAGAAGCACCGGCUAACUACGUG
rnacentral:rRNA from 1 species